AGAGAAGUAGUCUAACCAAGACAGUUGAUUUCGACUCAACAGACCAUAGAUCACACCUAUGCCUCUCUC
rnacentral:tRNA from 1 species